rnacentral:lncRNA from 10 species
CGUCCCUCUUAAUCAUGGCCUCAGUUCCGAAAACCAACAAAAUAGAACUGUGGUCCUAUUCCAUUAUUCCAAGCUGCAGUAUCCAGGCGGCUUGGGCCUGCUUUGAACACUCUAAUUUUUUCAAAGUAAGUGCUUCGGGCCACAGGACACUCAGCUAAGAGCAUCCAGGGGGCACCGAGAGGCAAGAAGCAGGGACGGGCUGUGGCUCGCUAGCCCACCCGCUCCCAAGAUUCAACUACGAGCUUUUUAACUGCAACAACUUUAAUAUACGCUUCUCCAAAUAUCACCAGCACACAACCAGUUGAGGAGAGAAAACUGAAUUUAUUGUUUGCUGCAGUAAGGAAGAAAACCACCUUGACAGCUUUGGUGGUGUCUUGGAACAGGGCAAAGCAUGGUUGGAAUUUGUUGAGAAGUGGAAGUUUGAUUUAAGGCAGACCUAGAUCUUUCAAUGGGGAGGACUUGAUUAGAAUGGGUAAGGAUCAUGAUAGAAAAGUUUAGAAUUGGUGGAAAUAGCAAGGUAAGGAUUUUUGAGGCAGAAGACUUAAAGAAUUUUAGGGAAUAAACUGCUCUUGAUGAAUUCUUUUUAUGAGAGUUCUUUGGGUCCUUUGAGAAG